rnacentral:lncRNA from 1 species
AUGAUUUCUCAAAAAAAUCGAUCAUGAAUAAAUAAAAAAACAACACCCAGUUUUUCAUAGACCAACCUAACAUCAGUCAUUCCAACUCAAAAAUCCGUCUCAAAUCGAAUAAAUUACAACAAAUUGAAUACAUGUUUUGAUAAACAACACUAUAAGGAAUCAAAGCCCUAUAAUAUUAACACAUUAUUAUCAAAAUAUUAAAUAAAAUCGAUUGAAUUGAGGAAAAAAAAAAAAAUGCAGUUCUUCACAGACAUCAGUCAUUCAAUCUCAAAAAUCAUGCUCAAAUUGAAUAAAUCAGAUAAAAUUGAAUACAUAUGAUGAUAAACAACACUAUAACGAAUCAAAACCCUAUAAAUUCAACACAUUAUUUGCAAAAUAUUUACUGAAAUUGAGAGAAUGGUGAAAAAAAAAAAAACUCAGUCCAUUUUUUUUAACAGACAUUAGUCUUAUUUUGUCAAAAAUCCAACUCAAAUUGAAUAAAUAUAAUCAAAUUGAAUACAUGUGAUGAUAAACAACACUACAACAAAUCAAAACCCUAUAAAUUUAUUACAUGAUUUGCAAAAUAUUGACUGAAUUUGAUCGCAUGGCGGAAAAAAAAAAAAAAAACACAGUUCGUACCUAUUCUUCGUGCACUCGUGCCUUCAAACUCAAAAUUGAUAUGUAUUCGUCCAAGAUAAUCACAAAUUAUGAACAAAAAAUUCUGACCAACACUCUUACGAUCACUCACCCUGAAAUUUUACAAAAAAUGAUGCAUUCUUUCGCUUGAAAUAAGUGAAAUGGAGGAAACCCUAAAACUCACUCUUCGAUCCAAAUUUGUUGAUAAAAAACAGCUCUUUUUAAUUCGUUUUAUUGACUGAAAUGGAUAAGAAAUUUGAAUUAAAGCCUGCAAGAUUUAUUCAUAAGGCUAAAAAAGUUGAAAAUCGAUAACAAAAUG